UGUCCCUGGGACAACGCCCUGCUAGAGAACAAUGGGACAGGUGGAGGGGAAGAGGCACUCCUUCCCAUGGAUUCAAAGGGGCAGAAAAAGUGACCAGCAAAUCCUCUAAAACAAACGCCCAGACAUGGCUCAAGUCAAGGGGAAGAGAAACCCCGUAAACCCCGACAAAACCGGGUUCUUUACGGCCCGAAAUAAGCCAUCUAAACCCCAGGGCACAUCAGAC